GUCUUCGUAGUUCAAUUGGAUAGAAUGUUAGAUUCCGGUUCUGAUGAUGCGGGUUCGAAUCCUGCCGAAGACA
rnacentral:tRNA from 1 species